UACGUAGGCCUCGAGCGUUAUCCGGAUUUAUUGGGCGUAAAGAGCAUGUAGGAGGCUUUCUAAGUCUUUGGUUAAAGACCACCGCCUAACGGUGGGAAUGCUGAGGAUACUGGGAAGCUGGAGGAGGUUAGAGGUGCAUAGAACGCAUGGUGUAGGGGUGAAAUCCGUUGAUAUCAUGCGGAAUACCAAAGGCGAAGGCAGUGCACUGGGACCUUCCUGACUCUGAGAUGCGAAAGCGUGGGGAGCAAAAAGG
rnacentral:rRNA from 1 species